rnacentral:tRNA from 1 species
GCCCCCAUAGCUCAAUGGACAGAGCACCGACCUUCUAAGUCGGUGAUGGAGGUUCGAUUCCUCCUGGGGGCA